rnacentral:lncRNA from 1 species
CACAGAGAGUCUCUGACUCUCCUUGGCCCCGCUCAGCCAGAGGAAAAAGACACUGUAUGCACAGGCCUCAACUGCCACGUGACAAACAGAGAACUGAGCAUCGUGGAAGGAGGUCCCUGGAGAUGAGGCCAUCCAGGCAUCCAGACCCCCAGCCAGGCCACAUCCAUCACACCUCUGCUGGCUUUCCACGGGCAGAAUCCCAGUACCCAGCCUGCUGGCGCCUGCCGGGGCCCAACUUCCAGGGAGUUCUAGCAGAGAGAAGCCUCCAGUACCACCUAUUCUUGACACCUUAGCCUUGGAGAAGGGGGAGGAGUUUGCCUUCCAACACCCUGGCACAGGGGCUGGCAUGGCCUCUACCACCCCAUCUGCUCAGGUUUCCAAGCCCUGGGCCAGACUUGGCUCCUCACAGCUUCAGGAAGGGCUGAAGAGGUCAUCAUAUUACCCACCACUUCUCAGGAGCAGGUUCUGAGUACCAGGCAGCUCUCUGCCACCGUCUCUCCUCUAACCUUCCGAGGACCCAGCAAGGCUGUCGGUAUUGCUGACCCCACUUCACCAUGCGGAAGAGGAGGCUCAGGGAGGCUAAGUGACUUGCCCGGGGUCACAGAGUGGGUAAGUGGCCACCAACAGGAUCUCUGCCCGGAGUCUGACACCGAAGCCGGUGCUUGUAACCACCUGGCCCCCUCAAGUGGGAAGCCAGAGUCCCGUUCUCUUGGCGCGGAGCUUCGGGGACCCGCGCAC